AUGAUAAGGAGGUUCUUCUCUCUGUCAUGAAAUCCAUAGAUUACUAUUAAUGAAGACAUAACGCGUCAACGAUAAACAUUUUACUAGGAAAAUUAUAUGCAUUGAACCCAAAGACUAGAUAGAAAAAAAGGAACAUAAAAGUAAUGCACGCCAAACAGCAUUCACUGUUCAGUCAUCAAUGGGAUGGAUCUAUAUUGAAGUGACAAUUACGUCAUGGGCAAAAAUAUGGUAAUUUUUACCCAUCAUCCCUCAACCUUGAAUGUAUUUCACUUUCAUCCCUCAUCUUCAUUUUGUUACCACAAGAUCUCUAAACUUUGAAAAUGUUACACUAAAAUCCCUGAUGCUAAAACCUAGCCAGUUUUAUGGCAAGAUGCUUGCAUGGCAGUUCCACACCGUUAAAAAAUAAAAUAAAAAGAAAUUACCAUCAUAACUCCUCUGCCACAAUUUCUUAUUGUAGACCAGACUUCUUUUCCUUCGUCCUUACUCGUCUUCGUCCACCUACAACACCUUUCACUGGCUCAUUCAUACUUGGUGUUUCUUUAUUUUUUAUUUUAUUUUUUACACAUGGCACUACCAUGUAUGCGUCUUACCAAAGAUUGACCAGAUUAUGGUGAGAGGAUUUUAGUGUAACAUUUUAAAAGUUAAGGGAUUUUGUGGUAAGAAAAUGAAGAUGAGGGACGGAAGUGAAACACUCGUCAAAGUUGAGGGACGGCUAGUAAAAAUUACUCAACAAAAAUAUUGAAUUUAAACUUUAACAUAAGAAGUCAUUCUGUUAAAGUGUAAUCAGCAUUUCUAGGCAAAGAGAAUACAAGGAUCCUCUUUACUGAUUUAAUUACAUAGGAUAAUCACAACAUGUAUGCAAGGACCUCCAUUCUAACAAAAAUAACUUCAAAAAGCUAUGCAACAGAAUUCAACCACAUUUAUAUUAAUCCAUACCUGAAAACUAUUUGCAUAAUCUGG
rnacentral:misc_RNA from 1 species